rnacentral:misc_RNA from 1 species
GAAGUGCUACCCAGUGCAAUUGAGGUAGGUCAGUAAGAACUCAAAAAUGGGCAUCGCCUCAAUAUGUUUAUUCAAAAGGUUAAAAUGUGCUUCACACCUAAAUUCUUCACAUUUAAUAUUUACACAUCUAGCAAUUUUAUGCCACUGUAUACACCUAACGAUUUUGAAGUAUGAUAUAGAAUAUAGUAGUAACUAGUAACACGGAAUCUUGGAAGAAUUUGAAUUGUUAAUAUCUGAUGAUUGAAAUCUCGUAUGUUAUCAUUUUAGGGUGCAUUUGGUCUGGGCCGAAUGGAAUGAAGGUUAACAAGUAUAAGAGUAACAGUUAAUGGUGUAAUUUACAAGCGCAUCAAUUAAUACUAAGCCAUGUUUGGUGUUACCUCUGAAAAAAGAGUAACAGUUAAGCUUGUAUAGUUAAAUGUGUUUAUAUACCUAUAUGAAUGAAUGAUAUAAAUUAAAUUUGUAUGUUCAUUGAAGUAUAUAUUGAUAACAAUAUUUUUUAUUGUAUAAUAAUUAUUUAUAAAAUAUUAAAAAAAUUUUAAUAUUAACAAAUUUUU